AGAAGAAGAAACUUGGUGUUGAUGGAAUUUAUAAGAAGUAUCCCUAUUUAAUUCAGUCUGCAAUCGACUAUGAAGUGUGUUUAAGAGCUGAUACCUUUGUGGGAAACAGUUUCUCAACAUUUUCUAGUCUUAUAGCUCUGGAAAGAACACAGAAGAUGAUCAGAAUGAAUGCCACCAACUUGUGCGGAGAAAAUGUAAGAUGGCCCUCUUAUGCUUACAACGUACUAGGAACAUCAAACGGUCCAAUGAGAUGGGUUACAAACAUGUCAGAAUCAAAUCUUCAAGCAAUCAGCUAUGGAACCAAUCACAUCUCUUGUUAACAGUCCCUUGUCUAAUUAAUUAUUCCUGCUACAAACCUUUUGAGUAGAUGAAGAGCCUCUUUUUUGUGGCUCAACAAUUUCACUUCUGGGCAUGAUAUCCACACUUAGAAAGAUGGAUUUUGAUGUAGUGAACACACUUGAGGUACAGUUUCUCGUUGUGAAAACUGAGCCCACUAUUUUGAAACAAAUUUCUCAGUUCUGACACUGUUUGGUUGUUAAAAAACUCUCAGUUCAGAAAGGUUAAGUUUUGUUUUCUUUAUACAUUUUUGUGUUAAUAGUUUGGUUGGUGUUACUGUUGAUUUAUUGGGUUCACGUGGGAGAGAAUUGCAGAAGGUUGAGAGAAGAGUUCUAUACCUGUAUUCUGGUCGUGUCUAUUUUUGUUGUACACUUGAGAGAUCACAGAGUGGGCCCAUUUUAGUUAUUAAAGAAGAAAAAGUGAACCCUCUUUUGUUUUCUUCUGCAAAUGAUCUUGAGAAUUCCAUAUUUGGAAAUUAACUGUUACCAAGGUUUAGUUAGUAAAGAAGAGACUCAUAAUCUAUCAGAUUUUGUGUUUGAUUCCUUUAUUGAUGCAAAAACUUGUUAGUGGUUUUUCUAAUCUUGAGAAUUUGACUUAGGCGAGAUUUUAUUUAGGUAUUAAAGUCAGUCACCUCGGAUUAUUUGAGAUACCUAACUUUUCGGUUCAUAAAGUUUUCUUCUUAUUCACACUUUCAAUAAAACUUGGUCAGUAGUCAUUGCUAAAAGCAAGGCUUUAUAUGAUUUUUAGACCUAGAAAUUUAUAGUGAACCUGCUUUUGCUUUCUCAAAUUUAGAAAUAAAAUUCUAUUUUUGUUUUUUAUAUUUGAAAAAAUAUUAUUUGAAUCAUGUUAAUUUACUUCUUAAAAAUAAUAAAUGUUCUGGACAAGUCGUUUUAAUUUAUCAUAUUUAGUGUUGGAGGAAGAAUUUUGUUUUCAAAUAAUCUUUGAUAUAUUUUUUAAAUUAAUUAUCACGAAAACUAAAAAAAAAAUAAGUAUUGUACUUACUGGCGAUUUGAUGACAGAGUAUAAUAUAUUUUCUCAUAUUUAGUUUUUUCUAGUGAGAAUCAAAACAAAUAUGAAUAUUUCAAAUUUACUCAUCAUCAAUUAAUUUUUUUCCGCUGUUAAUUUGCUGAGUCCAAGACAAGAUAAAGUGCAGUCAUAUUUGUUAAAUGAAUAAGAGAAAAUAAAAUAAAACCUCUCUUUUUUAGCUUUUAUUUAAUUAAUCCAAAUAAAGCAUGUUUGAAAAUUAAUUAAAUUAAUAACAUUUAAAAAAAAAUACUAAAACAAUAAAAAAUGUAGUAUUUUUUUAUAUUAAAUUUGUCUGUAUCCGGCCCAUAAAUAAAUGGUGGCUGGACCAGACUCAGCAGUACAACAAAGAGACAAAAAAUAGAACCACACACAAACCCAAACAUAUCAAAGAUAUGAUAAUGACACCAAAAAAAAACAAUGAUUUGUAGGUUAGACUUCAAGUGACCACAUUAUCCGUUAUAGCAAUUUUUUUUUAUGUAUUUUUCAUACAUAACAUAAUUAUUCUCGAACGAGUUUGGGAUCUAGAGAACGAUUGCUCCUACUCUUACUCCUGGAUUUGGUUGGUGUUUUCUAUUGUGCUUCUCAUCCUUCAGUUGUCCUGCUCUUUAGGCGGAGUGGUACCUUCAAAAAACACUCAAACACUCAAGUCAGUGGAGUAUCGACACUCGGUUAUCGGAAUAUUGUAGAUAAUGUACAUUUCUCAUUGAAAUGCGUGCUAUUUAUAUUACCUUAAUGGACUUCACUGCUGGGUCAGAUUAAGGAGGUUGGCUUGCGUUUAGGGUUGUGUUAAACCACCCUUAACUGUGGAUUAGCCUUACUAAUCUGGUAAACCUUUGACUUGAACAUCAUCGACCGAUCGGUCACGUGUGCAACGCAGUCGCCUCUUUAUUGUUAAUGUGAUUGAGUCGGCCAGUCGUACUAAUAUAACAUGAUAAUAAUAAAUUUGAAUUUAAAUAUAUUUUUAUAUUUUUGUUGAAUCAUAUACUAAACACAAUUCCCUCUCACCAUUGCUUAGUUUAUGAGUGGAGUGAAUUCCUAUAUAAACAAUCUCCCUCCAUUUCAAUUCCUUCACCUAUUGUUCUUUCUCUAAUCCUCACCCCUUCCACUAAUGGAAACCGGUGCUGCCGGUACCCAAGCCCAACCAAGCGGUUACACCGGAAGAGAAAUUCCGCCACCGCAACUGCCUGAGGAACCGAAUCUGCGGCCAGAAUGCCGACGAUCAAGUGGAACUGAGCCGGACCUCAUUCUGCAACCUGAAUGGCGCCGUCCAAGGCCAAUCGAUCCUCCUUCCGAACCUUCCAACCGUGGCGGCGAAGAGGAAAUUCUACUCCAACCACAAUGGAGGCGCUCGAAGCCAACCGCGAGCGCGAGUGCGAGUACUAGUGUUUGGGAACCUGAAUGGAGACGAUCGAGAACAGGUUCAACGGCAUUUCCAUGGAACCAGAAUUACAGUGUUCGCAAACCUAGUGCGUCGAGUUCCGGUGGCGUUGAAAGACGCGGUGACCCUAACGACCUUUGGCGAGCUCUUCCGGCUGCAGGUAUAUCCAUUCUUCGAAGAAAUGCUCUGUUCCGCUCGGUACUUGCUCUCUGUGAUCGAGUAUUAAGACUACAAAUAGGGAUUGUAUUGUAGAAACUACAGAAAGAUUCCUCUUGUGUCAGGUCUAAACAUGGAGUGUUAGUGUUGACUCUAUAAUCAUUUAUUACAGUGGACAGCAAGUAAAUUAGGCGUUGAAGUCACUGAAAGCGCAUAGUCCUUUUUUAUUAGCCGUUUAAACUUAACAAAUUCUAAUAAGUUUUUGAUAUUGCAAAUUGUUGAUCAUGGUAAUUCAAAAUUAAAAAGAAUCUGUUCGAAGUAAUAAUUCUAAUAUAUGUUUAACCAAAACUGCUAGUAAGGUGUUAAGUUUAGAAACAUAGAUGAAUCAACUUGAAUCUCAAGGACCCAUUUGCUAGUUUUCUUACUUUCGGGGUACACUUUUGGAGACUAAAAUGAUAGUUUACUCCAGGGAGAAUUUAGUGGUUUUGUUUUAACUGAUUAUUACAAAAACGUGGCAUUCUCACUUUGUUUCCCAUUUUCAAGAAUUUGCAAGUGAACUGAUGAAAAUUGCAAAGGUUAAGUUUGGAUAAAUUCUCAGUUAGUAAUUCAUAAGAGAAGAAAAUAAGUUGAAAUGAGUUUUUUCUAUAAGCUAAAAUUAACUUAUACACUCUAACUCUUACAAAAGUUGGAUUAGUGUAAAAUCUAAGUGCAUAAGUUGGUUUUAGCUUGUGAGAAGAUUAAAUUAAUUUUACCUUCUUAUUUUCAUUUUUAUACAGUAUGGACUUAUUUAUCCAAACAGGACCUGAAUCUUAUUUUACUAUUUUCCUUAGAAAUUCCUGAAGUCAAGAAGCAAAGAGUGAGUUGAUCAUUUUUGUAAUUACUAGUAAAAGUGUUUCAACUAGGAAAACCCCAAAUUAAGAUGAAAAGUGAUAUUAUUCUUUUUGUUAUGAAUUGCAGGCCUAAAGACAACAAACUAUCUUAACAAUAUUCGUGAUUAUUGUGUUGAUUUGUUUUUUAGCUAUUGAUUUUCCUUGCAGAUUCUGUCAUUCCCAAGCUGGAAAAACUUCAAAUAUCAAAACAGUUUCCUACAUCAAGUGAAAAAGAGGAUAAAAUAUCACCUAUUCAGAGACCUGAUAAUGGUGGCACGAUAAAAAUUCUAACUAGCAGACUCCGUGUGAAUCAUUUCCCUGUUAAGUUUGAUCCAGAACGUACAAUAAUGCAUUAUAGUGUUGGUGUCAAGCCUAAGGUUUCUUCAAAAUUUGGGCAGCCUCAGAGAUUAUCGAAGUCUGAUCUAUCCAUGAUCAGAGAGAAACUGUUUUCUGAUGAUCCUAAGAGAUUGCCUUGGAGAUGACUGCACAUGACGGUGCAAAAAAUAUUUAUAGUGCAGUACAGUUACCAGAAGAGACCUUUACUGUGGAGAUCACUGAUGGAGAGGACGAAAAGAUCAUUUCAUAGUGUUACCUUAACUCUUGUUAAUAAACUCAGGCUUUGCAAGUUAAUGGACUAUCUUAGUGGGCAUAAUCUCUCCAUUCCUAGGGAUAUUUUACAGUGUAUGGAUGUGGUGGUGAAAGAGAAUCCUGCUAGGCGAACUGUUUCUGUAGGAGGACGCUACUAUCCCACAAAUCCUCCUGUAGUGAUGAAGGAUCUUCACCAUGGGAUAAUUGCUGUUGGGGGAUUUCAGCAUAGUUUAAAGCCUACAUCUCAGGGUCUGUCCUUAUGUGUAGACUACUCAGUUUUGGCUUUUCGGAAGGGAAUGCCAGUCUUGGAUUUCUUACAUGAGUGUAUCGAUAACUUUAAAUUGGAUGAAUUUGAAAAAUUUAGGAAAUGUGUUGAGGGCGCACUUGUUGGAUUGAAAGUCAAUGUGACUCAUCGUAAAUGCAAUCGGAAAUACAUUAUUUCAAGAUUAACUCCUAUGAUUACAAGGUAUGUCACUUUUCCCAUUGACAAUACCGGUGAAUGGAAUCGCCCAAAGGAUGUUAGUCUUCUUACCUUUUUUAAAGACAAAUAUGGCAAGGAAAUUAUGUACAAAGAUAUUCCUUGUUUAGAUUUAGGGAAAGACAAGAAGAACUAUGUACCCAUGGAAUUCUGUGUUCUGGUUGAGGGCCAAAGAUAUCCCAGAGACCGUCUGGAUAGUAUUUCUGCAAAUACAUUGAAAACAAUGUCACUAGCUCACCCAAAUGAGAGGGAGGGUGCAAUACAUAAGAUGGUGCAGUCUAGUGAUGGACCUUGCAGGUAAGGGAAUGUUAUUCCAAUUGCAUUACUUCUCUAUGUGUAUGCCUUUUGGAACUUGCAUUAUUACAUUCCUUGAUUCUUAGUUACAUUUGCACGUGAUGUCUCAAUGAUGGAUUUAGGUCAUAUGGUACUUAUUUAAAGAGUAAAUUUCAGGUUUCAUGCACUCUACAAUUCAGUCCACGUGCAGAUUAGGCAUAGGGUUUUAAAAGGUGAAAAUGAUCUCCUAAACUUCAUACUUUUUGUGAAAACAUCUGUCAACCUAGCUUGAAAUAUCUACCAGGUGCUAGGUGCAAGCCCCUCAACAAGUUUGGUCCACAUGCUCUGGUGGUACUAACUGCAGAUGUUGAAGUUGGUGAAUUCUUUGGAUAGUUUAAACAAGAAACGUAAUACUAGGAUAGGAUGGAAAACCAUAGUUGCUAGCAGGAAACAAUUGCACUUUACUCUUUACAGCAGUAGUCUUUGGACCUGUAAAUACCAGGAAAAUGAAGAGGCUUGGCUUUCUUUGAAAGACAGGAGAGAAGAUUAUUUUUUUGACAGUGUUCCUUGAAGUAUAAUAAAACUUGACUAUUAGACUCGUAGUUAAAUAACAUGAAUUACGCAGCUAAUGCUAGACUCCUCAAGAAAUUAGGAAAAUUAUAUUAUUAGAUUCCUGAUGAAAUACUGCAUAUGAAGUUAAUUUUCUAUAUAUUGUGACGGUAGUUAAUUUCAAACCAGGAAAUUAUCAGCAGGAUGCUCAGUAUUGUUCUAGUAUGCAUAUAUAAAUACAAACGUGCACAUUUUUGUAUUCGUUACCUUGUAAUGCUUGUUAAUAUAUGAUUUGUCCACUAUCUUCAUCUUCUAAUAUAUAUAGGAGACAUGUCUCAUUACAAUGUUUUCUUUUGGCAGCGGUGGAUUUACUCAAAAUUUUGGAAUGAAUGUCAAGACAACUAUGACAACUAUUGUAGCACGUGUACUUGGUCCUCCAGAAUUAAAGUUAGGUGAUCCAAAUGGAAAGAUCAUUAAAUUAACAGUGGAUCUGGAAAAAUGUCACUGGAAUCUUGCUGGAAGGUCAAUGGUGGAAGGUAAACCAGUUGAGAAUUGGGGCAUUAUUGAUUUCACUAGUUUUGGGCCAUCCAAGUACAAAUUAAGAGGCAAGGAUUUCAUUCAAAAGCUUAUAGGCAAAUACAAGAAAUUGGGUAUAUACAUGCAGGAGCCCAUUUGGUAUGAAGAAUCUUCAAUGAAGAUACUUGCGUGUUAUAAUUUGCUAUCUGAAUUACUUGAGAAAAUUAAGAACAUUUGUAAAUAUAACCACGUACACCUGCAAUUUCUUCUGUGUGUAAUGGCUAAAAAAAGUCCUGGUUACAAGUACCUGAAAUGGAUUUCUGAGACCAAACUUGGGAUAGUGACACAAUGCUGCUUGUCUAAUGGUGCUAAUGAAGCAGAGGACAAAUUUUAUACUAAUCUGGCUCUCAAGAUCAAUGCCAAACUUGGAGGCAGUAACGUGGAGCUGAGUAAUGGGCUCCCUUACUUUGUGGGUGAAGAACAUGUGAUGUUUUUAGGGGCUGAUGUCAACCAUCCUGGUUAUCAAGACACCAGGAGUCCAUCAAUUGCUGCUGUGGUCGCUACUGUUAACUGGCCUGCUGCAAAUCGUUAUGCAGCACGUGUAUGCCCACAAUACAAUCGAAUUGAGAAAAUAUUGAGCUUUGGAGAUGUUUGCCUUGAGCUUGUUUCAUGCUAUAGGAGGAUGAAUGGAGUUAGGCCUGAAAGAAUUGUUAUUUUUCGUGAUGGGGUGAGUGAGUACCAGUUUGACAUGGUUCUUAACGAAGAACUGCUUGAUUUGAAGAGAGUAUUUCAAAGAGUAGACUACUUUCCAACAAUCACUCUAAUUGUAGCACAAAAACGACAUCAAACUCGAUUUUUCCCAGAGGGCUGGAGGGAUGGAUCUUCUAGUGGCAAUAUUUUACCAGGAACAGUUGUGGACACAAAAGUUAUACAUCCUUUUGAGUUUGACUUCUACCUUUGUAGUUACCAUGGAAACCUUGGUACAAGCAAGCCUACUCAUUACCAUGUUUUAUGGGACGAGCACAAGUUUACAUCUGAUGAAUUGCAGAAGCUCAUAUACCAUAUGUGCUUCACCUUUGCCAAGUGCACUAAACCUGUAUCUUUAGUUCCUCCUGUGUAUUAUGCUGACCUUGCUGCUUAUAGAGGACGAUUAUACCAUGAAGCAAGGAUUGGGAUGCAAUCUCCAAACUCAACAAAAGAUGCUUCCUCACUUUCACGAACCACCUCAUUUGAACAAGGAUUUUACUCACUGCAUGCUGACCUGGAAAACAUAAUGUUCUUUAUCUAAAGGACUUCAUCUCCACUCUCCUACAGGUUCUGCAAAACCUUAUACUCUUUAGACGUGUAUUGCAUAUUCCGCUCAAAAUAGUGAAGUUUGUGCGCGAAUCUAAUAACUCUGUCUUCAAAUAAUCUUUUUUUCUUUUAUACUUUUUAUUUUUAUUCGCAAGCCAUAUUUGUACCAUCUAAUCAAACCCUGUCAUGGCUAAUAUCCAAAAUAUAGAAGAAUAUGACAAUUAUAGUUAUAAUACUUGGAUGAUUUCCAAUGCACAUUUUAUAAAAGGAAUUCUAGAAGAUUGUUAUUGUAACUCAGAUAGAGGAAAGGAAAGGUUAUCAUAUUAACUUAUGUGUAUUACAGAGUGUUGAUAAAGAAGUAAUUUAUACACAGGUAACACAUGGGUACCCUUAACAAAGAUCAACCAUAGCUCUUCAAAAUUAAACAACUAGUUAAGUUAUAUAAAACCCAGCCCAAACAAAAUAUUAUUGUAAUGUUUGUAAGUUCAUUUUUCCUUUAUUUUUCUUAUGAUGGAAGUGCUCGAGAUAUGUGUAGUUCUUGUGUGUAUUACCUGCGCAAUUUGGUUAUCAUGCUCAGUGGUUUGUUUGUGUGUGUAUGUACACACAUAUAUAUAUAUAUACACUAAUAAUAAUAAUAAUAAUAAUAAAGUAAAUAGUUAAAUUACACCCAUGCAUACAGAUGUACAUAGGAUUCAUCGUUUCGUUUUUAAAUGUCCAAGACUAAUAUUUUCAUUAAAUUGAUUAGGUCAAAUUGGACUUUAAACGGGUCGAGUCUCGCCAAAAUAUUUUAAAAUAGAUUUGGGUUGAGAUUACUUAGAUAGUGGAUUAAAUGAGCUUUAGCCAAACUAAUCCGUAAACUUACGAGUGGGUUUAUUUUUUAAAUAAUAAUAAUUUUUAAAAAUUAAAAAUAAUAUUUUUUAAGUAUAUAUAUUAGAAGUUAUUUAUUAAAUAUAUGUUAAAACGGGUGAUCAGUUUGUAUUCAACAUUUAUCCAACACCAAUAAAAUAACAUUUUUAUUUUAAAACGGAUGAAUAGACUGAAAAAGUAUAAAUAUUAUUUUUUAUUGUGUUAGGAGGUUAUUAUUUGAUAACUUGUUAAUAAGAAAAUAUUAAAUUAAGAUAUUUAAUUGAAAUAUAAAUUAAAUUAAUUAAUAAAAAUAGAUAUAAGUUGAUUGUAUAAAGGAUUUUGAAGGUAACAUUACCUUAGAUUAUUCCAUCNNNNNNNNNNNNNNNNNNNNNNNNNNNNNNNNNNNNNNNNNNNNNNNNNNNNNNNNNNNNNNNNNNNNNNNNNNNNNNNNNNNNNNNNNNNNNNNNNNNNACUUUUAUUAAGAUAUAUAUAUAUAUAUAUAUAUAUAUAUAUGGCAAUUUCUCCCUCCACCAUAUCAAUUUCAGCAUGCACCCAAUCAGCUCUAGAAAAUGAUAAAAGUACCCCUCAUAAAUGACGAAAAUAACCUUACACAAAAAUGGAAAAAAUUAUUUUUGAAACUUUUAUCUGAAAUAUUUUGGAUUUCAAUUUUCAGAACAUAUUUUUGAAUUAUGAAAUUUUUUAUCCAGAAUGUAUUUUUAGUUUUGUAUUCAAAUUUUUUUUUCCAGCAUGUAUUUUGUUAUUUCUCAAUUAUAAUUAUUAUUUUGAAUUUUUUAAUUUGGAAUAAGGGUAGUUUUGAAAAUUUAAAAAAUUGAUAUGGAGGUUAAAAUUGAUAUGGUGCAUAAGGAUAGUUUUGGAAAUUUAAAAAAUUGAUAUGGUGAAGGUUAAAAUUGAUAUGGUGCCGGAAGAAUUUUCCUAUAUAUAUCAUCACACAAAACAUAAAAAAUUCAAAAAAAAAAUAUUAUAUUUGAAUCAUCCAUCACGAGAAAAAGCAACAUCCACGAGAAAGUAAAAUAAACUAGUGAUUCUUAAAAUGAUUGAUAAAAUUUUAUAUUUGAAUCAUCCAUCACGAUUAUAUGAAUUGGGAUUAGGGGCUGGUGCACUUGGUUUACGGGUUUAAAAAGAAAUCCAUAUUUAACUUUUAUAUUCUUUUUGUGUUUGACAACUUGCACUCUGUUAUAUUUUUUAAUACAUCACAUGUUUUCACGAAUACGAAUUAAAUUAGUAAUAUUUAUUGCCUUUUUGAACGAUAAGUUAUGGUACCCAAUGUGAAAGAUUCUCGUUGAUCAAUCUUAUAAUAAAAAAUUCUACAAACAGCCCUCGUCUAAAGUCAUAUUUGUUUAAGGAGUUAUUUGAUGAGAUUAUAAUUUAUUUUUAUGAAUUAUUAUAUAUCACAUUACUAUUAUAAUUUUAUGUUUUAUUAUCAUAUUUUAAUUAGAAAGUUUAUAAGAUUCAAAUUCUAAAAUAUAAUUUUGACCAUGCAAUAGAAAUACCUUAUUCAACCUUUAUAAUUAAUAUCUAAUCAAUAAAACAAUUAAAUUUUGGCUGUGUAACAUUAUUCUUUUACUUUUAAUUUUUAAAAUAUUUUGUUCUUUAUGUCUUUUUCCUUCUCGCUAUCUGUGUCUCUUUUGUUCCUACCAACCUUUCUUGUCCUUUUUUCUCUCUUCCCAACACUCCAUUCUCAACGACGUCUCAUUUGGUUCAAGCUGCUUCCUUUUGCAUCUCUCAUCGCACCCCAUUUCUUUAUUAUUCUCUGGGUUGCUUUCUCGUGUACCCCACAACCCUAAAACACGGUCGUUUCAUCACUGAUUCAAAAACUUUCCUUCCAAAGGUGAGAAAACCAACACACAGACGCUGCUAUGGCUUUAACACACCCAACAAAAUUCCUCAUUAAAUGCUGUUUGUUUUUCUUCCUCGUUGGUUUCACCGGACACGUUCUUAUCGAUGUGUCUCGUGUCUCCUUUGCUUUUCGCAUUUCUGGGUGCGUGUCUCCAGCUCUUUAAUGUUAGUCCAGCGUUGAUAUAUUUAAUUAAUAAUAUAAGAUGGAGAUUGGAUAUCAAUCAAGCGUUUAACUGCUGAGUACUUUAUAUUAUACAUAUAUUAUAAGGCAUUUGAGAAUAUUUAUUUGAAUAAUUAAAGUUUAUGUAAAAGUUAAAUAUUUGUGAACGUAUCGACAUCAUACAAAGCAGUCCAAGGUGACAUUAAUAUUAAUAUUUAUCUUAUUAAAUAGAUUGAAUGGUGUUCAAAAAGGCUGGAAAGAGCUGGAGACAGGCAGUGCAGAAGAGGUAUAGCUUGUGAUGGUUUUCUCACCAACAUUCACAUGUCUCUUAUUUCUUUUCCACAUGCCUCUAAUUUCUUACUGAAUCGCUGCAUACUAUAAUCAGAAUUCGAUUUUAUAGAAUCACAAAUUCGUAGCUGAUUCUUUGUGAUUUUUGUUUUGUAGAUAUUCAUCUUUGGAGGGAAUCCUCUGUUGCAAAUUUCUUGCUUUUCUUGUUAUUCCCUUUGUAUCAAUCAUCAGUCGAGUCAGAUAGUGGGGUCCUUCAAAAUUGGAUCUUUACCUUCGAAUUUGUUCGCACGGCUUCUCCACAUCGAUGUUGAUCAAUUUUGUAAGUGAUGCUGUGAUCUGAGAUUUUAUGUUGAAGUAAAUAAUUGGUGAUGAUUUGCAUGGUUGAGUGAGUGAAUCGUUAUCAUACAUGGAAGUGUUGCCGAAGUUUUUGAUCGGCACAAUGAAUUCAGUAACUAGCAAAUGUAUGUUUUUACUUGUUACUGUUUUGAUUCUUAGAGCACUGUUGUUUCCAUCCUUCCUUGGCUUUGACGGGAUUGAAUGGAGCAACCUUGUUUAUAUCCGCACUCCAUUGUUGAAUUUUGACUUUGGAAUACGGCAAGAUAAGUUUUUGGUGGUUCCCCAGAUUGUAUGGGGAUUAAACAACCAGAAGAUUGCGUUUGCAAGGGCCUGUCUUACUGCUAGAAUGCUGAACAGAACAUUGUUGAUGCCAAGCCUUAGUGCCUCAUUGUUUUACAAAGAAAUUGAUCUCUUGCAACCUAUUUCCUUUGAUAAGAUUUUCCAAUUUGAUAAGUUUAAUACCCUUUGCAAUGGUUUUGUCCGGUUGGGGCGCUAUUCAGAUGUCUCGAAUAGAACAGAAGUGCUGGAAAUGGAAAAGGGAAGUGGCAGGAGGUGGACAGUGGAGAGAGAUUUGUCACAAUUGAAGGAGCAUGGUAAGGGCUCUUUAGAUGAUCACGAGGUAAUUCGGAUUGUAGGGAAGAACCCUUUCUUGUGGCAUGAUCAUUGGCCUGUGAAGGACUAUGCAAGGAUUUUUGAAUGCUUGGAUUUGACAGAAGAGAUUGCUAAGGAAGCAGACAGAGUUGUGUCUAGGAUUAGAGCUGUUGGAGGAAAGAUAGCAGGCAACACUGAAGCAGCGGAAAUGCAGAACAGUAUCACCAGUGAUGGACCUUCUUUUAAGCCCCUUCCGUAUGUUGCUGUCCACAUGAGGAUAGAAAUUGAUUGGAUGAUUCACUGUAAAAAUUUAGAGAGGCGAUUGAACACGAAUCAAAUCUGCAGUAGCAAGAAAGAGAUAGUGGAAAGAGUUAGGAACAUUGCUGGUUUGAAGACUCCAGUUGUUGUUUAUCUUGCUGUUGCUGAUAAACUCCUCAACAAUUCUUCCAUACUUGAAGGUUGGGAAGAAGGGUUUCUUCCUUUUGAGAAGAAGAAACUUGGUGUUGAUGGAAUUUAUAAGAAGUAUCCGUAUUUAAUUCAGUCUGCAAUCGACUAUGAAGUGUGUUUAAGAGCUGAUACCUUUGUGGGAAACAGUUUCUCCACAUUUUCAAGUCUUAUAGCUCUUGAAAGAACACAGAAGAUGAUCAGAAUGAAUGCCACCAACAUGUGUGCAGAAAAUGUUAGAUGGCCUUCUUAUGCUUACAACAUACCAGGAACAUCAAAUGGUC
rnacentral:lncRNA from 1 species